AACCUUACCUACCCUUGACAUGGUCGGAAUCCUGAAGAGAUUUGGGAGUGCUCGAAAGAGAACCGGCGCACAGGUGCUGCAUGGCUGUCGUCAGCUCGUGUCGUGAGAUGUUGGGUUAAGUCCCGCAACGAGCGCAACCCUUGUCAUUAGUUGCUACGAAAGGGCACUCUAAUGAGACUGCCGGUGACAAACCGGAGGAAGGUGGGGAUGACGUCAAGUCCUCAUGGCCCUUAUGGGUAGGGCUUCACACGUCAUACAAUGGUACAUCCUUGAGGGCCGCCAACCCGCGAGGGGGAGCUAAUCCCAGAAACCAUCUAUCCGGAUUGUAGUCUGCAACUCGACUACAUGAAGUUGGAAUCGCUAGUAAUCGCGGAUCAGC
rnacentral:rRNA from 1 species